rnacentral:piRNA from 2 species
CUGCGAUGAUGGCAUUUCUUAGGACACCUUUG